UCCUGAAUCGUGUUUUCUGGAUCCCAAAACUUCAUAUGAAUUAUGUUUAUAGAUUAACAUGAGGUUCCCUAGGUCAAUUUCCUUCAUUUUAGUGUUUCUUAAUAUUCCAUUGGAGUUUUUUAACCAUAUAUAUUUCUAGAUUUUAACACAUACUUAAAGUAAAAUAUUGAAAUAAAAUUAAUUUUGUAACAGAUUCAAUUUAUAGGAAGAUAAUGGCAAAAACCAUACACACCUACUAUUUAAUACAAUGCUGGAUUUUUACCCUGCAGUGGACAGGAAGCAUUUUUUUUCUGUAUUUUCCAUUAUUCUUACUAGGCUUUAUUUAUACAGUGCAGUUUUUGAAAAAUGUAUCUAAGACAUUCCAUAUGAGCAUGUAGUGAAUUCCAAAAUGGACCCACUCUGAUGUGGAAUAAUACCCAUUUUAAAGCUCUUCUGUGAAGUGCUCAAAUUCCUCCUGCAUCCCUAUCACUUCAGAAUGGCACAUGCCUUGUGCUGGAAACUCUGGGGCUGAGAAAAUGAAUAUGAUAUUGGCUAUCAAAAUAUCAAGAGCAGAAACCACUACUCCAUAAGGAUAAUUUUAAGUUACCAACAGAGAGAGUACCUACAUGUAAUUGUCUGCAGAUGCGAUCAAGCCAGGCUGCAGGAUCCUCUACUUAGAUGAAUUUUCUCAUCAUGAAAGAAGAGGUUUUUUUGCUCCUAUUAGCUGAAGACCAGUGCUAUAUAACACACAAAUUCCAGAGUAGUCAUGACAAGUGGAGUGGCUUUUAGAGAAUAACUAAUUGGCAGAUUGUCUUUUGGAUAUUAUUACGGCUGUUCUUGACGAUUAUGUCAGAGGCCAAACUCUGGUGGGCCACACACUAUUCAAACCUGGAACCAGAAUGCUGGUCCCUGCUUGGUGUUUCUUUUGCAAGCUGGAAACCCUAUCUCCUUUUUUUGGUUUGUUUGCUUGUGACUCUGGUGCUAACAACACCACUGCACCUGAGCUUUAGGUAAAGUAGUACUACCUAAAAUGUCACAGAUUAGAUAAAAUAUCUGAGGUAUAGCUUAGAAAAAAUUUCAAGAAUUGCAAGAGAAGAGGCAGAGAGAAGAAGGGUGUCUUGCAGGAAAAAGGGAUAUGAUGAAAAAUAUGGAUCAGAAAGAAGGCAGGGGAACUUGACAUAUUUUUCUUUCACCAAGCAAUAUUUUCCAGUAGUUCUUUGGAAGAGGUAAUUCUUUGUCACACCAUUCCCUCUUGUCUCUUAAAUAUUAUGUAUUCCCCAGGCUACUAUGGCCAGCUAUGCCAAGGAACAAAGGAACUGGGAGACCUAAGAAAAUCUCAACAAAGAGAAGGAACAGUACAGAUUCAAGAAGAAAUGACAUGGUCUGCAUUCUUACCCCUGCAGGAUCAUCUUUCAGUCUCAUCUGUAUAUCAAUGCAUAAACACAUAGGCACACCACAUAUGUCCUUUGAACUGCUUCUCAGCAAAUAUUGCUUAAACAGCCAAUUGUGCCAACAUAUCCUAUCAGUAACUCUACUAGUGCCAGGGGGGAAGAGUGAAGGACUGAGAUGGAGGAGUAUUAUCAACAUCUACAUUUGAUUGCCUGUAAACCAACCAGGAACAUCUUCUUCAGUAAGAAUAAUGAAAUGUCAUCAUGCUAAGAGAUUUGGACCAACUCUAUAAAUUAAACAGUACGCGAUGACAGCCUUGAGGCGUUUAUUUAUUUACUUGAACCUCAGACCUGGUGGGAGGAGAUGAGGAAAUGUCAGGAAUCCCACGUGGACUCAGCAAAUCUCUGCCAAUAAGAAGCAACUCCACAAACUGCUUGCUGGAAACUCUGCCCCCAGUGAAGCAUCACCUUCCUCACCUUUCACAGUGCCUCACUCUGUGCACAGCCCCUGCCUGCCUUGGUGCACAGAUGUGGCUCCACCAGUGUGACAAGUGGGACCCCCCAGAGCUGGAGGGCUCGGGGGGCAGUGGGGUCCCACUGAGCACAGGCUGCUGCUUUCAGAGGUGUCGUGUCGUGUCACAGUAACAAAGCCAAGAGGACACGUCUGCUUGUGUACUCAGCAUUACCAGAGUGCAGGAGAGCAGCUGCUGAGGUAUAAGCAUGAAGGACCCUGAAGAGAAGAGCCCAACCCAAGUGACUCCUAGCUAAAGUAGGAAAAUAAGGGUGGCACGAGGGCAGAGCAGAGGGAAGGUGGGGGAGCUGGGUGUUCCCAUCUCUCUGAAGCAGCUACAUUUCCACCCAAGCCCAGCUACCCCUUGCAGAUGGAGAGGCUCCCGUGGGCUGUGACCCACCCCAUGUGCAGAGGGAGUUUGCUGUGGCCCUGCUCUGUGGCAUCUCCUGCAGCCAGCUGCCCCACAGCCAGAGUAGCCCGGGGAGCUUGAUUUCCAUCAUGCCCCAUUAAGGGAAUGUAAUGAAAGACUAUUUUGAGGAGGUUGGAGUAAUGAUAAUGAAAGAAUUUUCAAACUGUUUGUGUAUAAUUUCCUGAAAUGUGCAAGACAGAAAGAAAGAGAGCACAAAGAUGCCUUCCUGGUGAUUUAACAAAUGCCA